CGGGACACGUGGUAUCCUGUCUGAAUAUGGGGGGACCAUCCUCCAAGGCUAAAUACUCCUGACUGACCGAUAGUGAACCAGUACCGUGAGGGAAAGGCGAAAAGAACCCCGGCGAGGGGAGUGAAAAAGAACCUGAAACCGUGUACGUACAAGCAGUGGGAGCCUCUUUAUGGGGUGACUGCGUACCUUUUGUAUAAUGGGUCAGCGACUUAUAUUCUGUAGCAAGGUUAACCGAAUAGGGGAGCCGAAGGGAAACCGAGUCUUAACUGGGCGUUAAGUUGCAGGGUAUAGACCCGAAACCCGGUGAUCUAGCCAUGGGCAGGUUGAAGGUUGGGUAACACUAACUGGAGGACCGAACCGACUAAUGUUGAAAAAUUAGCGGAUGACUUGUGGCUGGGGGUGAAAGGCCAAUCAAACCGGGAGAUAGCUGGUUCUCCCCGAAAGCUAUUUAGG
rnacentral:rRNA from 1 species